CAUACUAGUCACUUCUCACUUUUCAUCAACUAUAUUUGGAGUACUAGUACUACUACUUUUGCUAGCUCUAAAAUUUUCAGUACAAAUUAAAUGGGAUCACUGUCAGAGUACAGAUCUGAAAACUUCCAUUGAAGAAUUGGUCAAGUGGUUGUUGAUGAUGAAGAAUCUAGAGGCCAAAUUAGACAAGGAGGUGAUGAAUUUGUAGCAAGCCCACAAGAACAUCUUGGUCUUGAUGCCAAGACAAUAAGUACUUUGCCUAUUUUCAUGUUCAAGUUAUCUUCUUUAAAAAAUAAUAAUGUGAAGAACUUGAAUAAUAGUUACAUGGAAAGUGAGUGCUCAAUAUGUUUGGGAUGUUACGAAGAUGAAGAGAUUGUUAAAGUCAUGCCUAAAUGUCAACAUGGCUUUCAUUCACCUUGCCUUGAUAAGUGGCUUGGUAAUUGUUCAACUUGUCCUCUUUGUAGAUCCUCUUGUUGACUCUACUUGCUGGCUGUGUCGCUCUAAUUGCAUGAUAAGUCUACAGUUGCAAUUCAAGGUUUUUUGCGCAAUCGUCGCGUUGAAGAUAUAAUUAAUUAUUAGAGUAGUUGUCAGAAGUCUAGCGUUUAGGCUGUCUCACCGUCCCUCCUUAUCAAAAGAAUUUUCACGUGUUGAAUCAAUGACAAUGAUUCAGGUCCACACAUAAAGAGGCGUGUUGAAGACAUACAUGAUUAUUGAAUAAAUACAAAUGUGUUGGCUCCCUCUAGCUAGCACAUAAGCCUUAAAUGUACUUCAAUUUAAGUUAUUUGUAGUAACGAUAUAUAAUUUUCUAGUAUUAUAUAUAAUCAGCAAAUUUAAUUUUAACCCACGA